CGGCCUCUAAGAGUCAUCCUCACGAGCCUACGAAUCAUGAUCAGAAGUCCUGGUCUAGGAAAUCAGCACAGUAUGCUAGUACUACGCUGAUCCUUCUUCGAUGAUCGAUCAGAUGCCUCUUUCUUCUUAAUUUGGACUCUUCUAAAGAUGAGAAGUAGGAGAAGGAGUUUUAGAUGAGACACUAUCAAAAAACUUACAGAUGGAGGAAGGGAAGAGAUGAACCCAGCAACUCUAGAAGAAGACCCUCUUCUUCUUCUCUUUGCUCUAACCC
rnacentral:lncRNA from 1 species